GACGAACGCUGGCGGCGUGCUUAACACAUGCAAGUCGAACGGAAAGGCCCUGCUUUUGUGGGGUGCUCGAGUGGCGAACGGGUGAGUAACACGUGAGUAACCUGCCCUUGACUUUGGGAUAACUUCAGGAAACUGGGGCUAAUACCGGAUAGGAGCUCCUGCUGCAUGGUGGGGGUUGGAAAGUUUCGGCGGUUGGGGAUGGACUCGCGGCUUAUCAGCUUGUUGGUGGGGUAGUGGCUUACCAAGGCUUUGACGGGUAGCCGGCCUGAGAGGGUGACCGGCCACAUUGGGACUGAGAUACGGCCCAGACUCCUACGGGAGGCAGCAGUGGGGAAUAUUGCACAAUGGGCGGAAGCCUGAUGCAGCAACGCCGCGUGCGGGAUGACGGCCUUCGGGUUGUAAACCGCUUUCGCCUGUGACGAAGCGUGAGUGACGGUAAUGGGUAAAGAAGCACCGGCUAACUACGUGCCAGCAGCCGCGGUGAUACGUAGGGUGCGAGCGUUGUCCGGAUUUAUUGGGCGUAAAGGGCUCGUAGGUGGUUGAUCGCGUCGGAAGUGUAAUCUUGGGGCUUAACCCUGAGCGUGCUUUCGAUACGGGUUGACUUGAGGAAGGUAGGGGAGAAUGGAAUUCCUGGUGGAGCGGUGGAAUGCGCAGAUAUCAGGAGGAACACCAGUGGCGAAGGCGGUUCUCUGGGCCUUUCCUGACGCUGAGGAGCGAAAGCGUGGGGAGCGAACAGGCUUAGAUACCCUGGUAGUCCACGCUGUAAACGGUGGGUACUAGGUGUGGGGUCCAUUCCACGGGUUCCGUGCCGUAGCUAACGCUUUAAGUACCCCGCCUGGGGAGUACGGCCGCAAGGCUAAAACUCAAAGGAAUUGACGGGGCCCCGCACAAGCGGCGGAGCAUGCGGAUUAAUUCGAUGCAACGCGUAGAACCUUACCUGGGUUUGACAUGGAUCGGGAGUGCUCAGAGAUGGGUGUGCCUCUUUUGGGGUCGGUUCACAGGUGGUGCAUGGCUGUCGUCAGCUCGUGUCGUGAGAUGUUGGGUUAAGUCCCGCAACGAGCGCAACCCUUGUUCACUGUUGCCAGCACGUUAUGGUGGGGACUCAGUGGAGACCGCCGGGGUCAACUCGGAGGAGGGUGGGGAUGACGUCAAGUCAUCAUGCCCCUUAUGUCCAGGGCUUCACGCAUGCUACAAUGGCUGGUACAGAGAGUGGCGAGCCUGUGAGGGUGAGCGAAUCUCGGAAAGCCGGUCUCAGUUCGGAUCGGGGUCUGCAACUCGACCUCAUGAAGUCGGAGUCGCUAGUAAUCGCAGAUCAGCAACGCUGCGGUGAAUACGUUCCCGGG
rnacentral:rRNA from 1 species